rnacentral:lncRNA from 1 species
CGAGCAAGGAAAACGGGAAGCCGGCCCUCCCGGCGCUGAGGGUGCGCAGCCGCGGCGUGGGGCGGAAGGAGCGGCGGCUCCUCCCCGCAGAGCCGGAGCUGGGCGGGCGCGGCCCAUGGCGGCGCGGCGGGCGGGCCCCGGCGUGCAUCCUGGAAAGGACACCGGGGGAGCUGGGUAGUUUGUUUUUCCCCGAGUUUCCAGGUGCGUCCCACUGUCUCGUAGCCUGGCUCAGGUGUGCAAACACACGGUUUGACCGAGGCAGCUGCUGCCUGGUUUGUCGAAGUCUCUUGGUUUCGGGACACUUUAGAGCACUCAGCGGCUCUUCUGCCCUGAACAAAAUGUCCAUAGGGACCUGUCCCAUGGACAAACUCACCCUUUCUGAGAAAUUUGGGUGCCCGCCUCGUGCCCUCCCUCCAGUGCCAAGUGGAAGCCAAGGUGAGUUAUUAAGGAGAACUACAAACAUUGGUAGUUCCUUUUGGUGCCACUCAUUCUCUCUUUAAAGAUAGAGCCUUAUACUUUUCCUGAAUGCAGGCUGAUUAUUUAAACUGGAUACCUGUGCAUUGUUAGAACUGUUGGGUUUUUUUUGCUCUCUUUACUGUUAGCUAUUUCCAUCAAGGUAACUGAAGUGUUG